CUGGUUCAACCUUGAUGCGAUUUGUGUUUAGUGAUAGUACUUUAGAGUUUAGAGUUAGUUUCAUUGAAAUUAUUGAUAGUAUUGUGUUUUAAUGUUUUACUCGUGAUUAUAAUGGAAAGGAUAUUUAAGAGAUUCAAUAUUAUUACUUUUCCUUAUAUGGAAUUUUUAUUUUUUAAGCAUGCAAAUAUAACUUUGAUUAUGUUAUUAAUUAGUUAUGAAAUAAGUUAUAACCGAAUAGCCAAACCGAAAAAACCAAACCGAAAAGAGAAA
rnacentral:lncRNA from 1 species